GCGGUCGUGGCGGAAUAGGCAGACGCGCUGCUUUGAGGGGGCAGUCCUCGUCCGGGGGUAUGAGUUCAAGUCUCAUCGACCGCACCA
rnacentral:tRNA from 1 species